rnacentral:lncRNA from 1 species
CUGGCCUCAUUUGCUCGCAGAGUGGAAGGGGAGUCAUAUGACCAAGCAAACAGCCGGGAGGAAUACCACCAUCUGCUAACUGAGAAGAUCCAUGAAAUCCACAGACACAUACAGGAAGUACAAGAGAACAGGCUGCUGGGGCAGCAAGGACUUGGUGUACUGCCAGCUCCACAGCAGCAAGGACCUGGCAUGGGUCAGCCAUAACAAAGACUCUCUGCUAGCUUUUGUGGAGAGCUGAAUGGUAGAUUCCAGCCUCCAGAAAGAAGUGUCUGGACUAUCCUCAUCUAAGCUGCCUCCUCUGGACAAGAAUAAC